UUGGAAUUUUACUGUCAGUUUUGUCGUUCGAGACUACAACUGGCAUACUCUGCAAGAAGAACUUUAAAGUCUUACUUAGUCUUUCAGUAGGUUUCUUCUCAAAUGCUGAUGUUUCACGUUUCUCCUCAAUUGAUGGUUUUUCAGACUUCUCUUCAACAGCUGGUUCUUCAGGUUUCUUCUCAACUGUUGGUUCUUCAGGUUUUUCUUCAACUACUGGUUCUUCAAGUUGGCUUACUUACAGAUAUGGCCUUGGAACAAGCUCCUUAACUUCUGAAAUUGUACACACAAAUUACCGGUAGGAUCUCGUAUUUCAAUAUUAGCUUGAUCUGACAAAGAAUUUAGCUAUCUUAUUUGACUCAAAAUUUUCAUUGUGCAUUGUCACCUAUUGAGAAUUUUCGAGGUCAAUGACAAGUACUCAUGUUAGACCAUUUAUCUCCAAUGUUCUUAUAAAGUUUCAAGAAUAGGAGAAGACUGAUUUGAAAAAUGUUUUCAUAAUCUCCUCCUGGUAUGUACUGAAGUGAGCAACUUUCUUUCCAGGAUAAGAAGUUUGUCUCACACAAUUAAACUGAAGAACGAGUUUUGGUUCUAAGCCCUUUUCCCUCCUAAAAGACCACACCUUAGACCAUAAGAACCUUCUUUUUAGAAUAUACAGCAAAUGGAAAAAGAAAAUAGGUAUCGAUCCCGCCCUGUUCACAUGUCAAUGCACACAACUUAAAUCACUUAUGUAUAUUUCGAAGGUCGAGAGGUUUCUCAAACCCGGAACUGGAGUUAAUUCGUAUUUAACCCUUUUGUUGGUUUUAAGUAUGCUAAGACCGGCUAUGUUGCGCUGACUCUCCAAAAUAUUGCUGCACCCAUGUCGGAUUCUCCAAAAAUACACUGGUUUUGGAGGAUCCGACACGCACCCGGCAACAUUUUUGAAGAGUCCGAGCAACAUAGAAGGCCGGUUAGCUGUAUUGAAGAACCCCUUUCUUCAUCCUUUUAGUCGCAACCAAACUCAGGCCCUAUUUUUCUCUCUAAUUUGUUGGAAAACCACAGGUUUUGGGAUUUGGAUUCUCAACUAAUAUGGUUCCAAAUGGUGUGUCAGAGAUAGAACUGAACCAAGUUUUCAUGCAUAGGAUUUUUAUUUAAUAGCACUUUUGGAUGAAUAACUCUUGUCCUUUGGAGAGAGUCAAGUUUUUCAAUACUAUUUAUUUAAGAAGAGCUUUUUUUGUAUCAGAUUGCAUUGAUUCAUUUCCGUGCUAAUUCGAAGUUUUUGAAUGAUAUUCUUUUAUGAGUAACUAUGGUCUUUUGGGGAGAGUCAAAGUUUUUCAGUACUAAUUUAUUUAACAAAAUCUUGUUGAGCAUAAAAAAUUGCAUUGCUUUGUUUCUGCGCUAUUUCUUUUAGGAUCAUAUUACCUUCAUACACAUAUCUAGAUCCAACCCUUUGUUGCCUAACAAGCGAAUCACAACUGAACUGUGGAGUGUAUCAAGAAUGAAUCUCACGUAGAGCUAAAGUUGUUUGCGAACCUUUAUAUGAACAUACAGCUUGGUCAGGAUGCUCUUCAAUUAGCAGGGUUCUAACUCCUAAAUUCCACGUUAAGUUAUGAGUUCUAUUGCAAAAGAAAUAAUUCGAGCCAGUUGAAUAUCUACUAAUUUGUAGACAUAAUCAACAUACAAGUUCCUGGAAGCAAGUUCAGGACUGCAAGACAAUGAUCAUACAUGAAGAUGGAUACCCUUAAUUUCAGUUCUUUAGUGACAAACUUUGAACUUUGAAGCAAAUGGUUAGUUCUGUAGUGAAUAGAAUACUUCAUACUAGAUCUAUAGUUGAUCAAUAGGAUACCUACUACCCUCUAUUUAUACUUCUUAGAGACUUCGUAAUCCUGUAAAUCCUUAUGGAACAAACAUAAAGGUUCCUCUUUCAAAUUUUUUACACAUACUUUAAGUUUGUGAAAGCAAGCUUGACUACUGCAAUAUGUUAUAGGAGAAUUAGAAACAGUUGCCGCUACAUGAGAAUGAUAAACACACAAGACGCUGAAGUGGCAUGCUCACAUAAAGUAAAGCUGGUUGACAAGUGAGUUA